rnacentral:misc_RNA from 1 species
AAGUCGUAACAAGGUUUCCGUAGGUGAACCUGCGGAAGGAUCAUUAAUGAAUUUAAUUGACGGGGUUGUCGCUGGCCUUCACGGGCAUGUGCACGCCUUGUUCAAAUUCAUCCAUACACCUCUGUGCACUCUUCAUAGAUUGGCUUAGUUUAAAGGGUUGUGUCUGCAUGACCUGGGCCGCUCUAUGCAUUUUAUACAUACAUCCUUUGUCUUCGAAUGUCUCUAUUGCGAAUAACAACGCAUUUAAAUACAACUUUCAGCAACGGAUCUCUUGGCUCUC